rnacentral:lncRNA from 1 species
CAACAUUGAGUGUGUGUGUGUGUGUGUGUGUGUGUGUGUGUGUGUGUGUGUGACUCUGUUGACAUCCCAGUGUGUUCCUCCUUAUGCCAGUGUAUGCCAGCUAUAUGUGUGGGCAAGAGGAAGGGCUGGCUCUGAAACUUCCCCAGUAUGAUAACGCUACUCUUUGGCAUUUGCUACAGAGAGCACACAACCCUUCUUUUGCCCUAUGUAAUCUAUUAGCACCACUGGUAUUACUGUGGGUCAGAGAGCAAGAGUUAAUUGUUGCACUGGAGUCUGAGUGUAAGGGCUGACUUGGGUCCCUAACAGGAGCUAUCAAACCCUUUGGCCAUCAAAAAAAUAUAUACCUACUUGAUAAGAAACUGAACCUGAAUAACAUUAAUAAUAAUCACAAUAAUAGCAACUAUUUCUUGAAUGCUUACAAUACACCAG